rnacentral:rRNA from 1 species
UACGUAGGGGGCAAGCGUUGUCCGGAUUUAUUGGGCGUAAAGAGCGUGUAGGCGGCUCGAUAAGUCCGCUGUGAAAGUCCAGGGCUCAACCCUGGAAGGCCGGUGGAAACUGUCGGGCUAGAGUCCGGAAGAGGCGAGUGGAAUUCCCGGUGUAGCGGUGAAAUGCGCAGAUAUCGGGAGGAACACCAAUGGCGAAGGCAGCUCGCUGGGACGGUACUGACGCUGAGACGCGAAAGCGUGGGGAGCAAACAGGG